rnacentral:sRNA from 1 species
GUGUCCUCCCUGUCCCUCCGAGCAGAGAGCCUCCCCGUAUCUGGACCGGGGAGGAGCAGACGCUGGACAGGUUUCUGGGAGAAUGCUGGCAAUUCCCAGGAAGAUACGUGGAGAACGGAAAGGUUGCUACACCCAAAUAGUGGAGCAAAGCUAUGAUUAUGGAGGAUUGGACCUGCAAACUCCAGAACAGAGCAACCUUGUAAAAUGUGUGUGGGCAGCACAGAGACCUUGGGCAAGUUAACAGUUUCCUCAUCUAAAUAGUGAUUUAUGGAAAGCACCUGGUGCGUGUUCUGCCCUCUGAGGACCCUGCCCUUUCCCAAAAGGGAUAUCUUGAGAAGGAAAGUAUGGCUGCUCUUUGCUGGACAGCAGAGUCCCAGGAGAAAGACAGGGCUGGAGACCAAUUUGCUGAUAGUGACCCCAAACCAGAAAGUUCAUUGGGCCCACACCUCCAGAGCAGGCACAGAGACACGUGGUCUUCAGCAGAGCCUAUGGGGUACAGAUGAUUCACAUAAGAAUAGAAGUUUCAGGGCUGGACCUGGGGAGGCAGCCUGAGCCUGAGCCG